rnacentral:rRNA from 1 species
GUGGGUAGUUUGACUGGGGCGGUCUCCUCCUAAAGAGUAACGGAGGAGCACGAAGGUUGGCUAAUCCUGGUCGGACAUCAGGAGGUUAGUGCAAUGGCAUAAGCCAGCUUGACUGCGAGCGUGACGGCGCGAGCAGGUGCGAAAGCAGGUCAUAGUGAUCCGGUGGUUCUGAAUGGAAGGGCCAUCGCUCAACGGAUAAAAGGUACUCCGGGGAUAACAGGCUGAUACCGCCCAAGAGUUCAUAUCGACGGCGGUGUUUGGCACCUCGAUGUCGGCUCAUCACAUCCUGGGGCUGAAGUAGGUCCCAAGGGUAUGGCUGUUCGCCAUUUAAAGUGGUACGCGAGCUGGGUUUAGAACGUCGUGAGACAGUUCGGUCCCUAUCUGCCGUGGGCGCUGGAGAACUGA